ensembl:lncRNA
GUUAGUUUCACAUUUAAAUAAUCAAGGUCUAAAUUGUAGUACUUAAAUGGAAGUCAAGGAACAUGGAGAGCAAUGGAGGAAGCAGUAAUCAGCUUGAAAAGAUGUUGAAUCUCUGAUGAGCUUUGAAUAUGUCAGAUUUAGUUAUGUCCUAGAAAGGGAGUUUCCUUGAACAACUGCUAGUCACUUUAAAUUAUUCUGCAUUUCAAACAGGAAAUCAUCCAAUUAGACUAACAGCUGCAGAGAUUGGAAUAAGCCUUGCAUGUGAGAAAAUUAAAGAAAAUGCAGCUGAGUACUAUGCAAAGCAGUGAAGAAAGCAGCGCAUCUCUCCAGCUAAGUGGCUGAGGACAGGAGUGUGGCAUGGUCUGGUCAUUUCCCUGUCCCAGCCCCUACCUCUAGAAGACAGACAGACAAAGAAGGAGCAGCCAUCACCUGCUGCAUCAGGUGGUGAGAUGGGGCAACGUCAGCUCUUUGCCUAGACCUCCAUGGCCCUGCCCUCUUCCCCACCUCAGACCUUUCUGUAACAGAUUAUUCUUUUAUAUCAUCAACUCAAAGUUUGCUGAGGAAGAAAUCUUCUGUCUGG